UACGUAGGGGGCAAGCGUUGUCCGGAAUUAUUGGGCGUAAAGCGCGUGUAGGCGGCUCGGUAAGUCUGCUGUGAAAGUCCAAGGCUCAACCUUGGAAAGCCGGUGGAUACUGUCGAGCUCGAGUCCGGAAGAGGCGAGUGGAAUUCCUGGUGUAGCGGUGAAAUGCGCAGAUAUCAGGAGGAACACCAAUGGCGAAGGCAGCUCGCUGGGACGGUACUGACGCUGAGGCGCGAAAGCGUGGGGAGCAAACAGG
rnacentral:rRNA from 1 species